GAGUGGCGAACGGGCGAGGAAUGCGUUUCUAACGUGCCCCAAGGUCGAGGAUAGCUCGGGGAAACCCGGGGUAAUACUCGAUGACCCCCAUGGAUCGCAUGGUUCGUGGGGCAAAGGCUUGCUGCCUUGGGAUCGGGAAACGCCCUAUCAGGUUGUUGGUGAGGUAACGGCUCACCAAGCCUAAGACGGGUAGCGGGUGUGAGAGCAUGACCCGCCGCAUCGGGACUGAGACACUGCCCGGACUCCUACGGGAGGCUGCAGCAACGGAUAUUGGGCAAUGAGCGAAAGCUUGACCCAGCAAUGCCGCGUGCAGGAGGAAGCCCCUCGGGGUGUAAACUGCUGUCAGGGUUUAGGAAGUUCUGACCAAACCCAAAGGAAGGGCCGGCUAACUUCGUGCCAGCAGCCGCGGUAAUACGAAGGGCCCAAGCGUUAAUCGGAAUCACUGGGCUUAAAGGGUGCGCAGGCGGAAUGGUCAGUGUCUUGUGAAAUCCCACGGCUCAACCGUGGAACUGCAGGGCAUACUGCCAUUCUUGAGGCCGGUAGAGGCCGCUGGAACUCUAGGUGUAGCGGUGAAAUGCGUAGAUAUCUAGAGGAACGCCAAAAGACGAAGGUAGGCGGCUGGGCCGGUUCUGACGCUCAGGCACGAAAGCGUGGGGGAGCAAACAGGAUUAGAUACCCUGGUAGUCCACGCCGUAAACGUUGUGCACUAGGUGCUGGAGGUUCUGACACCAUCAGCGCCGAAGCGAAAGUGAUUAGUGCACCGCCUGGGGGGUACGGUCGCAAGGCUAAAACUCAAAGGAAUUGACGGGGGCUCACACAAGCGGUGGAGCAUGUGGCUUAAUUCGAGGCAACGCGAAGAACCUUAUCCUGGGCUUGACAUGCAUGGAUUAACGCUGGGAAACCAGCGCCACACUCUUUGAGUGGAACAUGCACAGGUGCUGCAUGGCUGUCGUCAGCUCGUGCUGUGAAGUGUUGGGUUAAGUCCCUUAACGAGCGAAACCCCUGUCGCUAGUUACCAUCAGGUAAUGCUGGGGACUCUAGCGAGACUGCCGGUGUCAAACCGGAGGAAGGCGGGGAUGACGUCAAGUCCUCAUGGCCUUUAUGCCCAGGGCUGCACACGUGCUACAAUGGCGCCGACAGAGCGAAGCAAAACCGCGAGGUAGAGCAAAUCGCAAAAAAGGUGCCCCAGUUCGGAUUGCAGUCUGCAACUCGACUGCAUGAAGCCGGAAUCGCUAGUAAUCGCGUAUCAGCAACGACGCGGUGAAUACGUUCCUGAGCCUUGUACACACCGCCCGUCAAGUCAUGGAGGCCGGGAGUACCCGAAG
rnacentral:rRNA from 1 species